UACGUAGGGCGCGAGCGUUGUCCGGAAUUACUGGGCGUAAAGGGCUCGUAGGCGGCCAACUAAGUCAGACGUGAAAUCCCCAGGCUCAACCUGGGAACUGCGUCUGAUACUGGAUGGCUUGAAUCCGGGAGAGGGAUGCAGAAUUCCAGGUGUAGCGGUGAAAUGCGUAGAUAUCUGGAGGAAUACCGGUGGCGAAGGCGGCAUCCUGGACCGGCAUUGACGCUGAGGAGCGAAAGCCAGGGGAGCAAACGGG
rnacentral:rRNA from 1 species